rnacentral:rRNA from 1 species
UUGAACGCUGGCGGCGUGCUUAACACAUGCAAGUCGAACGCGAAAGGGACUUCGGUCCUGAGUAAAGUGGCGCACGGGUGAGUAACGCGUGGAUAAUCUGCCCUUAUGAUCGGGAUAACAGUUGGAAACGGCUGCUAAUACCGGAUACGCUCAAAAUGAACUUUUUGAGGAAAGAUGGCCUCUGCUUGCAUGCUAUCACGUAAGGAUGAGUCCGCGUCCCAUUAGCUUGUUGGCGGGUAACGGCCCACCAAGGCAACGAUGGGUAGCCGAUUUGAGAGGAUGAUCGGCCACACUGGAACUGAAACACGGUCCAGACUCCUACGGGAGGCAGCAGUGGGGAAUAUUGCGCAAUGGGCGAAAGCCUGACGCAGCGACGCCGCGUGAGGGAUGAAAAGGUUUUCGGAUCGUAAACCUCUGUCAGAAGGGAAGAAACUACGUUGUGCUAAUCAGCAGCGUACUGACGGUACCUUCAAGGGAAGCACCGGCUAACUCCGUGCCAGCAGCUGC